UCUAGUGAACAUCCUACCAGAAAACUUCUUUACAGUUUGGUGAGGGUCUGGAGUAUGCUGGAGAAUGGGGAUGGAUGAAGAAGGAGCCAAAAGUUGGUCAAAUGAAAUCACUUUAUGGAUCUCAAAACACCAGUGAGCCCUCUCACCACCAGACCCCAUACUGAAGUGCUCCUGAGAGGAGAAGCCACCCAUGGCUGCUGAGCAUCUGGCAUCAAAAUGAGGGCUAACAAUGCCCUCUAACACAAAGUAGCUCCUGGUUCAGUAGCAGUCAUUUAACAGAUGCUGCUUCCCCUGUUGGUUUUGCCCCCAGCCCACUAGAAGUCUCAUGAACUGUUACUUAAUGAGCUAAAACCCACUCCCUAGGUAAGGGAAGCAGAAAAGAUAGAUGUUGUUGCACCAGUUUCAGAUCUCCAGUGAGUGGCGUACCACUGCUCAGACUGACAUAUUUAAUGAAGGA
rnacentral:lncRNA from 1 species